GCAGGUCGAACGAGGAAUAGAGAGCUUGCUUUCUAUAGCCGAGUGGCGAACGGGUGAGUAACACGUGACCAACCUGUCUUAAGGUGAGGGACAACCUGGGGAAACCUGGGCUAAUACCGCAUGAUGUCUUUUUUUCACAUGGGAAAGAGACCAAAGGGGGCCUCUGCUUGCAUGCUCUCGCCUAAUGAGGGGGUCGCGUCGUAUCAGCUUGUUGGUGAGGUAACGGCUCACCAAGGCUAUGACGCGUAGCGGGUCUGAGAGGACGAUC
rnacentral:rRNA from 1 species